rnacentral:rRNA from 1 species
GACGUAGGGUGCGAGCGUUGUCCGGAUUUAUUGGGCGUAAAGAGCUCGUAGGCGGUCUGUCGCGUCUGCUGUGAAAAUCCAGGGCUCAACCCUGGACCUGCAGUGGGUACGGGCAGACUAGAGUGCGGUAGGGGAGAUCGGAAUUCCUGGUGUAGCGGUGAAAUGCGCAGAUAUCAGGAGGAACACCGGUGGCGAAGGCGGGUCUCUGGGCCGUAACUGACGCUGAGGAGCGAAAGCAUGGGGAGCGAACAGG